rnacentral:rRNA from 1 species
UGAUUAUAAUUUAAAGUCUAACCUGCCCAAUGAGUAGUUAAAUGGCUGCGGUAAUUUGACCGUACAAAGGUAGCAUAAUCAUUAGUUUUUUAAUUGAAAGCUGGAAUGAAAGGUCGGACGAGAGAAUGACUGUCUCAAUUUAAUUUAAAUUAGAAUUUUAUUUUUAAGUAAAAAAGCUUAAAUGAUUUUAAAAGACGAUAAGACCCUAUAGAAUUUUAUAUUUUUUUAUAUAACGGUUUAUAAGAAAUUUUUUAUUUUUAUUUAAAAAUGUAUUUUGUUGGGGUGAUAGAAAAAUUUAAUAAACUUUUUUUUAUUUAUAUCAUUAAUUUAUGAUUAGAUGAUCCAUUUUUUAUGAUUAAAAGAUUAAAUUACCUUAGGGAUAACAGCGUAAUUUUUCUUAAGAGUUCAUA